UACGUAGGGUGCGAGCGUUAAUCGGAAUUACUGGGCGUAAAGCGUGCGCAGGCGGCGCCGCAAGUCAGGCGUGAAAUCCCCGAGCUUAACUUGGGAAUGGCGCUUGAAACUACGGUGCUGGAGUGUGGCAGAGGGAGGUGGAAUUCCACGUGUAGCAGUGAAAUGCGUAGAUAUGCGGAGGAACACCGAUGGCGAAGGCAAUCCCCUGGGCCUGCACUGACGCUCAUGCACGAAAGCGUGGGGAGCAAACAGG
rnacentral:rRNA from 1 species